rnacentral:rRNA from 1 species
AUACGUAGGUGACAAGCGUUAUCCGGAUUUACUGGGCGUAAAGGGCGUGUAGGCGGUCUUGCAAGUCAGAAGUGAAAUUCCUGAGCUCAACUCGGGCGCUGCUUCUGAAACUGCAGGACUUGAGUGCUGGAGGGGAUAGCGGAAUUCCUAGUGGAGCGGUAAAAUGCGCAGAUAUUAGGAAGAACACCGGUGGCGAAGGCGGCUACCUGGACAGUAACUGACGCUGAGGCGCGAAAGCGUGGGGAGCAAACAGGAUUAGAUUCCCUGGUAGUCCACGCCGUAAACGAUGAAUACUAGGUGUAGGGGGUAUCGACUCCCUCUGUGCCGCAGUUAACACAAUAAGUAUUCCGCCUGGGGAGUACGGCCGCAAGGUUGAAACUCAAAUGAAUUGACGGGG